GCCUAACACAUGCAAGUCGAACGAACUCUUCGGAGUUAGUGGCGGACGGGUGAGCAACACGUGGGAACGUGCCUUUAGGUUCGGAAUAACUCAGGGAAACUUGUGCUAAUACCGAAUGUGCCCUUCGGGGGAAAGAUUUAUCGCCUUUAGAGCGGCCCGCGUCUGAUUAGCUAGUUGGUAGUGUAAUGGACUACCAAGGCGACGAUCAGUAGCUGGUCUGAGAGGAUGAUCAGCCACAUUGGGACUGAGACACGGCCCAAACUCCUACGGGAGGCAGCAGUGGGGAAUCUUGCGCAAUGGGCGAAAGCCUGACGCAGCCAUGCCGCGUGAAUGAUGAAGGUCUUAGGAUUGUUAAAUUCUUUCACCGGGGACGAUAAUGACGGUACCCGGAGAAGAAGCCCUGGCCAACUUCGUGCCAGCAGCCGCCGGUAAUACGAAAGGGGGCUAGCGUUGCUCGGAAUUACUGGGCGUAAAGGGAGCGUAGGCGGACAUUUAAGUCAGGGGUGAAAUCCCGGGGGCAUCAACCUCGGAAUUGCCUUUGA
rnacentral:rRNA from 1 species